rnacentral:rRNA from 1 species
UACGUAGGGUGCGAGCGUUGUCCGGAAUUAUUGGGCGUAAAGAGCUCGUAGGCGGUGUGUCAAGUCGUUCGUGAAAACCUGCAGCUUAACUGUGGGCGUGCGGUCGAUACGGGCAUCACUGGAGUUCGGCAGGGGAGACUGGAAUUCCUGGUGUAGCGGUGAAAUGCGCAGAUAUCAGGAGGAACACCGGUGGCGAAGGCGGGUCUCUGGGCCGAUACUGACGCUGAGGAGCGAAAGCGUGGGGAGCAAACAGG